UACAGAGGUCCCGAGCGUUGUUCGGAUUCACUGGGCGUAAAGGGUGCGUAGGCGGUCGGGUAAGUCUGAUGUGAAAUCUCACAGCUUAACUGUGAAACUGCAUUGGAUACUAUCCGGCUCGAGGAUGGAGGGGAGACUGGAAUACUUGGUGUAGCAGUGAAAUGCGUAGAUAUCAAGUGGAACACCAGUGGCGAAGGCGAGUCUCUGGACAUUUCCUGACGCUGAGGCACGAAAGCCAGGGGAGCAAACGGG
rnacentral:rRNA from 1 species